CCACACGAAGCUGGAAUCGCUAGUAAUCGCGAAUCAGAAUGUCGCGGUGAAUACGUUCCCGGGUCUUGUACACACCGCCCGUCACACCAUGGGAGUCAGCAACGCCCGAAGUCAGUGACCUAACCUUAUAGGGAGGAGCUGCCGAAGGCGGGGCCGGUAACUGGGGUGAAGUCGUAACAAGGUACC
rnacentral:rRNA from 1 species